rnacentral:rRNA from 1 species
ACAGUUUGAUUCUGGCUCAGAUUGAACGCUGGCGGAAUGCUUUACACAUGCAAGUCGAACGGCAGCACGGACUUCGGUCUGGUGGCGAGUGGCGAACGGGUGAGUAAUGUAUCGGAACGUGCCCAGUCGUGGGGGAUAACGUAGUGAAAAUUACGCUAAUACCGCAUACGAUCUAUGGAUGAAAGCGGGGGAUCGCAAGACCUCGCGCGAUUGGAGCGGCCGAUAUCAGAUUAGGUAGUUGGUGGGGUAAAGGCCCACCAAGCCAACGAUCUGUAGCUGGUCUGAGAGGACGACCAGCCACACUGGAACUGAGACACGGUCCAGACUCCUACGGGAGGCAGCAGUGGGGAAUUUUGGACAAUGGGCGCAAGCCUGAUCCAGCCAUUCCGCGUGCAGGAUGAAGGCCCUCGGGUUGUAAACUGCUUUUGUACAGAACGAAAAGGUUUCUACUAAUACUAGGAGCUCAUGACGGUACUGUAAGAAUAAGCACCGGCUAACUACGUGCCAGCAGCCGCGGUAAUACGUAGGGUGCAAGCGUUAAUCGGAAUUACUGGGCGUAAAGCGUGCGCAGGCGGUUAUAUAAGUCAGAUGUGAAAUCCCCGGGCUCAACCUGGGAACUGCAUUUGAGACUGUAUAGCUAGAGUACGGCAGAGGGGGAUGGAAUUCCGCGUGUAGCAGUGAAAUGCGUAGAUAUGCGGAGGAACACCGAUGGCGAAGGCAAUCCCCUGGGCCUGUACUGACGCUCAUGCACGAAAGCGUGGGGAGCAAACAGGAUUAGAUACCCUGGUAGUCCACGCCCUAAACGAUGUCAACUGGUUGUUGGGUCUUAACUGACUCAGUAACGAAGCUAACGCGUGAAG